GUGUUAUAAUAUCUAUCACAUAUUAUAUUUAAUGUGUCAUCUAUGACCUUAGGACAGACAAGGUUAUACUACAGUGAUAAGUGGAGCCUAAACUCCAAGUGAUUUAACAAAUGACACACUCAUAGUUUGCUUCCGCUAUGUCUUUCUCAUGGGGUUGUGUGUCUUUGGUGGGGGAUGUGUCUGUGCUCCACUCAGGUACCCAGGGUGAUGGCCAUUGUGCUCCAUCUAGGACAGGCAACCUUCUCCUUGACUGCAGCAGGAGAGAGAGAAACCAAGUGCCCUCAUACUUUCACACACAUUCCAUUGACCAGAACUGGUCUCGGACCCUGUCUAAUUCCAAAGGAGUGGGAAAGCAGGUGAAGCAAAUGUCGUAUUUACUGAAUGUCAUUCUCCUUGCCACUGUGGUCUUCCAAGACGUUUUCCCAGUUCUCUCCAGCUGCAACCAAUAUUUUUCUGACAGUGUUCAAUGUGCCUGUCCUUUGUAACGGGCAUUUCCCACAUCAUAUGGAGAAUGUAGGUGUGCAUACGACAUCCAUGACUCAUCUCCACAGAAAUCACUACAUGCCAGACGCUCUCCUGGUUACAUCUGUCAACACGUUAAACCUCAUAAUCCUCUGAGGUUCCUACUUUUGAUGUGUCCAAGGUGAAGACGAGGACAUGAGAGGACCUCCCACCGCCAGUUGGUUCCACAGUCCAUGUUGAACCACUGUGUUAUGUUGUGGCUUCUUUUUUAACUUCCUUAUUAGCAAAGACUAAAAUGUAAAACUGAUUCAUUUCUUUAUUUCUCAUGACACCAAAUACCAUUUUAGGCACUCAGUGGAUUUUCUG
rnacentral:lncRNA from 1 species